rnacentral:rRNA from 1 species
UACAGAGGGUGCGAGCGUUAAUCGGAAUUACUGGGCGUAAAGCGCGCGUAGGCGGCUUUGUAAGUCGGUUGUGAAAUCCCCGGGCUUAACCUGGGAACUGCAUCCGAGACUGCAUAGCUAGAGUAUGGGAGAGGGAAGUGGAAUUUCAGGUGUAGCGGUGAAAUGCGUAGAUAUCUGAAGGAACAUCAGUGGCGAAAGCGACUUCCUGGACCAAUACUGACGCUCAUGUGCGAAAGCGUGGGGAGCAAACAGG